AUUGAACGCUGGCGGCAGGCCUAACACAUGCAAGUCGAGCGGUAGCACAGAGAGCUUGCUCUCGGGUGACGAGCGGCGGACGGGUGAGUAAUGUCUGGGAAACUGCCUGAUGGAGGGGGAUAACUACUGGAAACGGUAGCUAAUACCGCAUAAUGUCGCAAGACCAAAGUGGGGGACCUUCGGGCCUCAUGCCAUCAGAUGUGCCCAGAUGGGAUUAGCUAGUAGGUGGGGUAACGGCUCACCUAGGCGACGAUCCCUAGCUGGUCUGAGAGGGUGACCAGCCACACUGGAACUGAGACACGGUCCAGACUCCUACGGGAGGCAGCAGUGGGGAAUAUUGCACAAUGGGCGCAAGCCUGAUGCAGCCAUGCCGCGUGUAUGAAGAAGGCCUUCGGGUUGUAAAGUACUUUCAGCGAGGAGGAAGGCGUUGUGGUUAAUAACCGCAACGAUUGACGUUACUCGCAGAAGAAGCACCGGCUAACUCCGUGCCAGCAGCCGCCGUAA
rnacentral:rRNA from 1 species